rnacentral:tRNA from 1 species
GAGCCUUAGUAAAGAAAUUUAUUUAAGUGACUGUUUUCACAUUCAGGAAAACCUAAGGUUUGAGAUAUGAGGCAAUCCUGAGCCAAAUUUUAGUUAUGAAAUAGGUGCAGAGACUCGAAGGAAACUAUCCUAACGAAAAAAAAAAGUUUUUCUUUCUUUUAGACGAGGAUAAAGAUAGAGUCCUUUUUUACAAUCUAUGUAAUUCUUACUUAUAGGAUAAUUGUAAAAAGAAAAUCCGUUGGCUUUUAAUAGACCUUGAGGGUUCAAGUCCCUCUACCCCCA